CCCUUAGAUGUUCUGGGCCGCACGCGCGCUACACUGAUUCAUGCAACAAGUUUUGUCCUUGGCUGAUAGGCCUGGGUAAUCUUUGAACGUGAAUCGUGAUGGGGAUAGAUUAUUGCAAUUAUUCAUCUUCAACGAGGAAUUCCUAGUAAACGCAAGUCAUCAGCUUGCAUUGAUUACGUCCCUGCCCUUUGUACACACCGCCCGUCGCACCUACCGAUUGAAUGGUCCGGUGAAAUCUUCGGAUCUGAGAGAUGUCUGAUUAAUUUCGGACGCCUUUUGGAAAAGUUGCUUAAACCUUACCAUUUAGAGGAAGGUGAAGUCGUAACA
rnacentral:rRNA from 1 species